rnacentral:lncRNA from 1 species
GUCAGGCCCUGAGGCACCCAUAACCUAAUCCCUGGCACCUCACACUUUACCUUACAUGGCAAAGGGCACUUGGCAAGUGCCAUGAAGGAUCUUGAGAUGGGAAGAACUUCCUGGAUUAGCCAGGUGGGCCCACUGUCAUCACAAAGGCCCCUCUAAGAAGGAGGUGGGGAGAGACUGGAAGACACUAUGCUGCCAGCUUUGAAGAUGGAGGAAGGGCCCAGCAGCCUGGAAUGUAGAAACCCUCUAGAAGCAGGAGAAGGCAAGAAGAAGAAUUCAACCCCUAAAGCCUCCAGAAAAGAAGGCAGCCCGGGCCUCACCGUGAUUUUAAGGCAGUGAAACCCACUUUGUGCUUAUGACUUCCAGAAGGCCAAGUAUGGUGGUGGUGUGUGCCUAUGAUCCUGGCUACUCAGGACACUGAAGCGGGAGGACCACUUGAGCCCAGGAGGAAGAGAUUGCUAUGAUGCCGUCCAUCACUGAACUCCAAUUGGGAGUGCCAUACUCUUGCAACUGAGAAAGAGCCUGUCUCAAGAACAACAAUAACUAUAUAUAUAUAUACACACACACACAUAUAUGAGAAAAUAAACCAAAUAAUUUCCAACGUAGAGUUUUACAUCAGCCAACCCCUCCAGUCACAGUUGAAUCGGUCCCUGAAUAAAGUCAGUGAAUGAGUGCCCACUAUUUGCUCCUCAAGCUGAAGAUCUCUGCUCCCAAGCAAGCUGCUGGUCAGUAUGGGCAGAAAGCCUUCAUGUCCAACUGAUACCAUUUUCUGUGGUUGCACUCUCACAUGUAAGAUCCCCAAAGAACCACAGCACAGAAUUGUCACUUUUAGCUUGGGGGGAACAACAAAACAUGAUGAAUAAUAAUUGCAAUAAUUACAUUCCUGUUCUUUCUCUUCUUCACUAAAAAAUAAGGACAUUGGUGUGUAGAUAGGGAAAGCCUCUUACGUAAUUCAAAGUAAUUAAACUAGAAAAGAGCUACUCCUGCUAAGAGCUUUCCUUUGCUAGCAUGGAUGAUCUUGCAAUUGCCCAAGAGUCUAUUUUACUCAGACAGCCCCACAUCUUAUAUUUCUUUUUCCCUUGUCCAUGGAGUCUGGGUACUACACAUGCCCAAGCCCACCAGUGCCUUUACAACAACAGGCAACAGAAGCCCUGCUACUGAGCAGCACCCAGCCUAGGGCCAUGUGAGCCCAUGAAGCAGCU